rnacentral:rRNA from 1 species
CUAAGAAUAUUCCGCAAUGGACGAAAGUCUGACGGAGCGACGCCGCGUGGAUGAAGAAGGCCGAAAGGUUGUAAAGUUCUUUUGUUGGGGAAGAAUAACCAUGGGAGGGAAUGCCCGUGGGAUGACAUGAACCGACGAAUAAGCCCCGGCUAACUACGAGCCGGCAGCCCCGGUAACACGUAGGGGGCGAGCGUUGUUCGGAAUUACUGGGCGUAAAGGGCAUGUAGGCGGUCUUGUAAGCUUGGCGUGAAAGACCACGGCUCAACCGUGGGAUUGCGUUGAGAACUGCGAGGCUUGAGCGACGGAGAGGGAGCUAGAAUUCCUGGUGUAGGGGUGGAAUCUGUAGAGAUCAGGAAGAAUACCAAUGGCGAAGGCAAGCUCCUGGCCGAUGACUGACGCUGAGGUGCGAAAGUGUGGGGAUCGAACAG